GCGGCGUGCUUAACACAUGCAAGUCGAACGAUGAAGCCUUUCGGGGUGGAUUAGUGGCGAACGGGUGAGUAACACGUGGGCAAUCUGCCCUGUACUUUGGGAUAAGCCUGGGAAACUGGGUCUAAUACCGGAUAUGACUCUUGGCCGCAUGGUUGAGAGUGGAAAGCUCCGGCGGUACGGGAUGAGCCCGCGGCCUAUCAGCUUGUUGGUGGGGUAAUGGCCUACCAAGGCGACGACGGGUAGCCGGCCUGAGAGGGUGACCGGCCACACUGGGACUGAGACACGGCCCAGACUCCUACGGGAGGCAGCAGUGGGGAAUAUUGCACAAUGGGCGCAAGCCUGAUGCAGCGACGCCGCGUGAGGGAUGACGGCCUUCGGGUUGUAAACCUCUUUCGCCAGGGACGAAGCGCAAGUGACGGUACCUGGAUAAGAAGCACCGGCUAACUACGUGCCAGCAGCCGCGGUAAUACGUAGGGUGCGAGCGUUGUCCGGAAUUAUUGGGCGUAAAGAGCUCGUAGGCGGUUUGUCGCGUCGUUCGUGAAAACUCCACGCUUAACGUGGAGCGUGCGGGCGAUACGGGCAGACUUGAGUUCGGUAGGGGAGACUGGAAUUCCUGGUGUAGCGGUGAAAUGCGCAGAUAUCAGGAGGAACACCGGUGGCGAAGGCGGGUCUCUGGGCCGAUACUGACGCUGAGGAGCGAAAGCGUGGGGAGCGAACAGGAUUAGAUACCCUGGUAGUCCACGCUGUAAACGUUGGGCGCUAGGUGUGGGCGACAUCCACGUUGUCCGUGCCGUAGCUAACGCAUUAAGCGCCCCGCCUGGGGAGUACGG
rnacentral:rRNA from 1 species